CAUUCACUUUUUUGUCCGGGAUAGUCUUUGUCUUUUCAAACGAAAUUUCGGCAGAGAGGUAUUUUAAAAUACCUCAUUUUUUUGUUCAAGUACCCUUUUGUUUAAUUUUAUUAUUUAUUCUUAUUUUUUAUUAUUAUCAAUAUUAUUAACAUUAUUAUUAUUAUUUAUUUAUUAAUAUUUUUUUUAUUUGUAUUUAUUAUUUAUUUUAUUUCUCAAAAAAGAGCAACCCUUUCUCUUCUUUUUUUUUCUUUUUACGUUUUUUUCCUUCUUUAUUUUUUUUUUUUAUUAUUUAUUUUAUUCAUCUUUUUUUUUUUNNNNNNNNNNNNNNNNNNNNNNNNNNNNNNNAUGUCCAAGAACAGCAAAGGUCAGUGCAUGAUUCUCCAACCCAGAAAGGAUUUUUCCUUUCUCUUCUUUCUUUUUCCCAAAAAUUCUGCAACAAGAAGAACACGUUAAAAUUCCUGCAGCCAACUGAACAACAAACUCAAACCGUUGUCCUCUUUCCCAUUCGGACCAUUACUUCCAACAAGGAAAAAUUGAAAGUCAACUUUUUCCCUUUUCCAUCAAACAUAAACCCUAAUUUUUGGGUAUAAAUAAAAGGAACCAAAACUCAACAGAGAAAAAGAUGGAGAAAGAGAACCACAGCCGCAAAACCAAAAACAACCACAAAAAACUCUAAAAUUUUCAAUCACAUCCUCAAACCUGCAAAACCAAAAGAAAACAACACAAAUAGAGAGAAAAAGAAAAAAGAAAAGAAAAUAGCAACACAGCAACAUCAGCGUUGCACUUCCUCUUCCACCACCAACUUUUUUUUUUAAAUCAUCAAGACUAGACGAAAACAAGAACGCAGGAACAGAAAGAAGAAGAAGGAGAAAGACUUCGGAAACUGCCUUCUCCGAUCUACUUGUGGGUGAGGUUUCUGAACNNNNNNNNNNNNGGGGUGGUUUGGAUUUUCCGGCGCGGCGCCGCCGCCGUCUGUCCUGACGGCCGCCGCGCCGGCGACGGGUUAUAAAAGCAAACCCUAGCAGAGCUUAGGUUAGAGAAGAGAGGAGAUGAAAGAAAAAUAAAAAAAUACAAUGGGUUUCUCUGUAUAUUGCUAUUUAUAGCAAAUUUUUUAUUUUUUAGGUGAUUUUUAUUUUAAUUAUUUGCUAUUUAUUGUUAAUUAAUCUCUUUUAUCCCCUUUAUGAGCUUAUGAAAUAAGUGCUUUUGGCAUAAGCUAUUUUUAGCUUUUUCAGCCUCUUAAAGCAUGAUGUUGAGGCUCUUUUAACUAAUAACCCAUCUAACUACUAACAUUUAUUUAUGUUAUUUUUUUUUUUUUGGUAUCAUUUCAUCAUAUUUAUGUAUGUAAUUUUUAUCUUAUAUUUAUUCUGGUUAAUUUUUAUUUAUUUAAAUGCAAAAAGUAUAUGUUGUUUGAUUAUUUGUUAUCCCAGGGAAUAAAUAUUUUUUUCCGUUAACCUCGCGUUACAUUUUUUUACUUAUCCCUUCAAAAUAAAAAAGUUUUGUUCUAAAGAGGAUUUGAAAUGGAGUGGUCGGACGGAUGACUUUCCACCCUUCGGUUACUUUGGAUUUCUUGCCGGAUGGCUUGCGGUCCGAGUAAUCGACGCUAAAAAUAACUUCUUUUUUAAAAAAAAAAGAUAAUAAACAAAAACUUUCAAUAAACCAAAAAUAUUUUCAAAAAGAAUCUUUUCUAAUAAACCUCGACUUUCGUUGAGAGACUUUUUUCAAAGUUCUUUUUUCCAAAUAAAUGCCUUAACAUACUUAAGCAUAUUUAAAUAUUAUUUUUUUAAAAAAAUAAAAACAUAAAAACAAAUUCAAACUCUUUUUUUGCCGCUUGGCUUUCAGUUUUAAAACUUUUUCCCAAAAUAGUUUAGACGUGAGUCAUCUCUAUGGUCGAGAAUUCUUCAUUUAGGAGAGUUAGUGGCAUACUCGAUGAUGAAUUCCGAGUGAGAGCCCUUCCCUAUUAUGAAUUAAAAAUCCCAUUUUAGUACGUUCGUGGUGGAUUAAAAGGAGUUUAAAACUUAAGAUGACAACUCGUCUUUCCUCCUAAAAAACAACCAAACAAACCAUUUUACAAUUUUUACCCUGAACUACGGGAUUUUGAUCCUUAACGGGUACGUAGUGCAAAAGACCUUGCGUCUUCCCAAAUCAAAAUUAAUAAAAUAUAUAUUUUCUUUUUCUUCUCAUUAUCCCAAUUAUUUAUAAACAAUUAUUUACAAGCAAAUCCCUUUUUAGCACAAAAUACACAUAGCACAAGAGGUUCCCGUAGAGUACUACGGAUACAAAGGGUGCUAAUACCUUCCCUUUGUAUAACUAACCCCCGAACCUUUUAAUCUCUAUAAAAUUUAAUUUUGGGUUUAUUCGAUCUUUUUCCCUUCCCUUGGAUAAAUUAAAGUUCGGUGGUGAAUCAUUUUUUUUUGAGAACCAAAGCUAACCAAUAGCUUGGCGUCCAAAAAUCACCGCGACAGAAGUAUGAAAUGACUUUUGAACUUAUUGAGGAGAAAAGUAUAUUGAAGAAGGCAAGAAUCGCCGAAGCUCUCAUUUUCGCCGUUAACCACCGUGACCCGAAUAAAUUAGUUUUAUUCGACAAAGGUUCUCCUACUAAAUCUGGUAAGCUUAAAUUUUGGCACAACCAAGUUGGUCAACCUGGAAACGGUUUCUUUGAUUCGAACGGGAAUAUUCUUCUGCGGGUUCACCUUUAGUUAUUGCCGUAAGUUUGAGACUAAUUUAAGUUAGUACGAAUAAACUCUAAACGUACACCCAUUGAAUAAUNNNNNNNNNNNNNNNNNNNNNNNNNNNNNNNNNNNNNNNNNNNNNNNNNNNNNNNNNNNNNNNNNNNNNNNNNNNNNNNNNNNNNNNNNNNNNNNNNNNNNNNNNNNNNNNNNNNNNNNNNNNNNNNNNNNNNNNNNNNNNNNNNNNNNNNNNNNNNNNNNNNNNNNNNNNNNNNNNNNNNNNNNNNNNNNNNNNNNNNNNNNNNNNNNNNNNNNNNNNNNNNNNNNNNNNNNNNNNNNNNNNNNNNNNNNNNNNNNNNNNNNNNNNNNNNNNNNNNNNNNNNNNNNNNNNNNNNNNNNNNNNNNNNNNNNNNNNNNNNNNUUAUGGUAGAUAGUUUGUUCACUAACGUCCAAGAAAAUGCUUUGGAGGUAUUUAAUCAGGAAGUGAAUAAUAGCAGAAUUGAUGAUCACAAGUUUGACGUGCAAAGUAUAAAGUUCAAACCAAAGCCUACCGUAAGUUCUUAUUUUUUUAUUGUAUAUCUUAUUUAUUUAUUUUAAAUUUCAGCGAGGUGUCAAUCUAGUGUCGCUUCACUUGGUUUGGUUAUUAGACUCCACCUGACAGACAUCACUGUGUUUAUUUCUAACCUUAAGAACAUGGCAGGCUACCAUCAUGGUAGCUAGCCUUCAAUCUUAUUUAUUUAUUUUGUUGUUGUUGUAGGCUAAGAUCAAAGAUGACACAGAAUUGGAAGCCGAAGCCCGCAGGAUUGGGGGAAAAGUAUGCAUAUGAAUAUUACAAGGACAGAUACAAUAAUGUCCUCUGGGUGAAUGAAGAUGAUGAGGUAUUUCAACCAUUUGACUUGACUGGUUUUGAUAAGAAAAACAAUUCCAAAUUUUUUAUCGAAGCCAAGGCCACCAUUCAUAAAAGAAAGAAAUGGUUUCAUAUUUCCCCGGCUGAGUAUCAUUGGGCUAUGAAGAAACAGUCAAAUUAUAUUAUUGCUCAUGUUUACAUAGAUGAGAAGGAGGGGGCAGAACCAAAAUUCACGGUGACAGAAUUUAUUAAUCCUACUGGUCGUAAUAGUUUGCUAAAACUCUGUAUGAGGUACAAGUAAUUGUAAUGACUGUUGACAUAUUGUGUCAAAUUAAACAUUGCCAACCUGGCUAUAUUUGGUGCAUGCAUCUGUCUAACUUCCUUUUCCUAAUUAGUAUUUAUUUAUCAUAUCAUAGUAAUAAUAAUAAUCAUUGCCACAAUUUUACUUGUGUUGUAUCCAUUUUUAUGUAAUGUGAGUUGGUAUUGCACGAUAUUGCAGCAGCCUUUUCUCUCUUCUUUUUAUAUAAUAAUAUAUCUUUAUAUAAAAUCAGUGGAGAUUUUAUGAGAUUAUCAAAGAUUCAUAGGGCAAUCUUUCUCAUGAUUACAUUUCAAUGGUUAUGUAGCAGGCCAGGGGGAAUUCUAAUUAACACUAAUUUUAUUUAAUCAAAGAGAGACUUUAGGCUUUAAUCCUCAAAGAUGUCAUGAAAAGAGAUGAUCAUGUCUCCUGGUUCAUCCCAAACUGGCGGGUAUCUCCUAUUUCUUUUUGUUCUAUAGAAUCUACUAACGGCAAAAUGCACAUACUCUAAAUACUGAAAAUUGAGAAAUUAGAUAUUCGAAAUAGCGCCUCAGCAUAUCAAAUGUUCUUGCUGUUUUUGAUCAUCUAAGUUGUAUUUACGGAACUACACCUAUCAACGUUUAUUUGGCGUAUAGAUUGAUGUGUUAAUCUUGAAGAAUAAUAAUAAUGAGAUUGAUCUUAAGGAAUGUUGUCAUAUCUAAUGUAAAUAGGAAUAGGAGUGGUUGGAAAUAAUUGCUUGCACUUGUCCCACAAGCCACUCUUCAUGUGACUUAAAGGUUUGGAUUAACAAAAACAACCUAGACUAUACAUGAGAUGAAAUCCAUCCUUAAAUGAGUGUCAUCACUUUUAUGUUUUAAAAGCAAAGCACUUAUUUAAAAUUCUUGUUCUUCCUCUUGGGACAGCAAGGCCCAUUAUUCAGUUUUAUUUCUUUAAGUUUGCUUCUUCUGACAAGGUAUGUAUGUAUAGUAUUCAAUAAGUUAAGCAUCACUGAUCAUAAACAAGGCAACAACAUAACUUGAAAAAGUGUACCAAUAGCCAAUAGGAUUAUCAUCAUACACUUUUGUCUUUACAUUUUAUUAUUGGUUAUAUAAAGCUAAACGUAUUAUUAGCUCUUCUUGUCUUUGAAGAUGGCAUUUGAGAAUUUGAAACACCACACUUCAUUCUGAAUUCUGAUCCAAUAUCAUAGUGAAAAACUUAAGGUAUGUAAGUUCAUUCUCUUGUGUUAGUUUGUAGUAGUAUUUUAUGUUUACUCUCUUCACUUGGUUUUCUAGUGAUUCUAAUUAUUUAUGUUUCUUUUCGCUUUAGAAUUAGAGCAAAAAUAGAAUGAAUUGCAUUUUUUGUCAGCUUUCAGUUUGAGAAUGAAUUGCAUUGUAUCAUUCAUUAUUAUCCUCAACUAUCAGUCUAUGUCAAUUAUGUCCCUCAUUCGAUUUUAAUAAGCGGUCAUACAUAUAUUAACUGGUAAUUAACUGCAAAUUCAAGUAACUCAAGACCAAUACAUGUAAGGGUCUAGGCUAAACGAACCCUUCCUCCAAUAUUAACGGGUCAAAAAUUCCCUCUUUGUUUUCUUUCUUUGUCUAUUAUGGAUAUCCUCUACGUGUUGUACAAGAUAAAGUGUUUUGAGUCUCAUGCGGUAACAACAUUAUUUAUGCAGAAUAAUUUGUAGUAAGAAUACAAAAAGGAAAUUUUUCAAACUCAUAUAAUCCAAACAAAAAAGUAACCUCAAUAAAGAUUAUUUUUAAAUCUCACAAAAUCAAUACAAUCUCACAAAAAAAUUUAAAAUCUUCAAAAAAAAUAAAUUAGAAUAUAUGAUUCCAUUGGAUUUGAUUUAUUUUCGAGCUUAUAAAAUUAGCUCAUACAAAAUAAAUAAAACUGAAUUAUAAAAGGCAGCCUUCCCUUCUCGUUAGGAUUAGAGCAAAAACAGGAGAGGUUGAAUAGGAUGAGCGAUUUAAGCGGUGAAAGAUCAAAGACAUGGAACGUAUACACGGCUUCAAAUCCAGGGCCAUCACAUUCACAGACAGGAGGAGGAGGAGGAGUUGAUGAGGAAGGUCCAUGGAAAAGCUUUGGGACAUCUAUGAGUGCAAUAUCUUUUGGUUUUGUUGCCACAGCCAUUUUGAUUUCAAUGUUUCUAAUAAUGGCCAUAUUUGAACCUUUAUUUAAACCCACACAACAGUUUUCUUCCACACCAGAAUCUAUGCUGCCAAGUUAUCAGGAACACCACUCACUACCAACCACAAAACAAGGGAAUGCACAAUCAGUAAGUCCCAUCCCAUCAUAUAUAAUAGGUUACAACAUGUUGUUUCCAAUUUGACUGUCAGGUGGAUAAAUGAUGGGUGCUCUUCAAAUUUGUGAAACUGCAACACAAUUUUCUCAUCAACUUCUACAAACACAAACAUCCUUCAUUUUAUUGUCAAGAUUUCACUUAUCAGAGAUUGUGUUUUCUUUUUACUCUAAUAUCCUUAUCUAUCUAUUCAAUUUACUUUAACAACUUGUAUAUCUCAUUUCGCGUGAGAAUAGUAUCAACUUUGAAAUCAUUGAUCCUCGUUUUCAAACUUUAAUUUGACCAUAAGUAAAAAAUUAACGCACCAAGUUAAACAUUAAAGUUGCUUCUAUCUAGAACGAAAACAUUCUAACAUGCUUCAACAUUAUAUUCAUACGAAUUCUCUAAUGCACUGUACCAUUUCUUGAUCACUACGGACUUCGUCGAUAAUUCUCCUUUUUUUUUUUUGUUCUAUAGAAUCUACUAAGGGCAAAAUGCACAUACACUAAAUGCUGAAAAUUGAGAAAUUAGAUAUUCUAAAUAGCACCUCAGCAUAUCUAAGUUGUAUUCUAUCAUUUAAGUUGAAAAUUGAGAAAUUAGAUAUUUUAUCUGUUGUGAAUUCAAUUAAAUCACACCAAUAACUUUUAGUGUGUCGAGCAAAACAAUUGAGAACCGCGAAAACGUAAAGAACACAAUAAAAUUUGUUGACACAGUUCGGUGUUAAUAAACCUACUCUAUCAAUGAAGUUCUUGAUUACAAUGAAAUUCUCUCCACAGGGGUUACAAGAAAUAGUAAUUCCCAAAUUCUACCCAAGUCCCGAAUUUCUUCCCGUGACCAAGAAAUUCAAUUACAUUUCCAAGGUGAUAGAAUGUUUCUCCAACCCUAGAGUCUUUCCAAGAUGUUACUCUAUUAACCAUAGUCUUUAUGUUGGCCUUAGAAACCCUAAAUCACAUCUUAAAACAUCAGAAAAUACACGCAACCUAUAUAUAGGCUCGUGCGACGCGCCAAUCACAGAACAAACCAACCAUCUUCACUGAUGGUUGCGCGACGCGCAGGAGCAGAUGGCGCGACCCGCCAAGGCCAAAACCAGCAGCCCAUUCGUAACAAUUUUAGUUUUAUUAUUAGGGUAUGCUAAACAGUGCCCCGAGCGCUUGUUAAGCAUAACUUUUUAUACUUUUGAGGUAUUGAAUGUACCCAUUUUGAGAUAAAAUUUCUAUUUUAAAAUACUUAACCAAUGCCUCGGAGGCACUGUUUAGCAUUUUCCUUAUUAUUAUUAUUAAUGGGGUUGUUUAUUAAAAAAAAAAUUAUAAAUGGGGCUGCUUUGUUUGCUAAUUUGGGUUAUAAGCCCCACUUGAUUUUCCUUCACCCCUUAAAUUUACUUCUAAUAACAACUAAAAAUCAAUAAAAUAAAAACAAGUACUAUUUGAUAUGCUUCGCUAGUUAUGCAAAAAAAAACCACAAAAAGAUUAGUUUUUUUAUUCUUUUGAAACAAAUGACAAAAAUACAAAAAAAAAAUUACAUUUUUGUUAUUUUAAUUUAAUUUUGUCUAAAUUUAACUGAAAGGAUUGUUUUGUCGACUUUGUGUCAUUAUGUAAUUCUUGCAUGCUUACAUGUUUGUGGUGGAUUAAAGGAGUCUUAAUUUAAGAUGACAAUUUGUCUUUUUCUUCUAAAAACAAUUAAACAAGCCAUUUUUUAUUUUUUACCCUGAACUACGAGGUUUUGAUCAUUGAUUGGUACGUAGGCAUAACACACGUUGCAUCUUUCCAAAUAAAAAAUUAAUAAAAAGAUAUUUCUUUUCACAUCUUUUCAAUCAUUUACAAACAAACAACUUUAGCCAAAAACAUAUAUAUUAUUACAAGAGGUUCCUAUAGAUGCUUAGGGGCUAAUACCUUCCUUUUGCAUAAUCAACCCAUGUACCUUGAUCUCUUAUUGCAUUGCUUAUUGCUUCUUUAGCUUUGCAUGUUUUUUGGGUUUUAUUCAAUUUUUCCCUUUCCCUUGAAAAAAUUAAAUUUUGGGGUGACUUCUAUUUUGCGAGUCAAAGUUAAUCAAUAGUUUGAUCUCCGAAAAUCACCACGACAACACUUGAUAAAGGACAAUAUUCUCUUAUGAAGAAUGACAAAAUUCUAAUAAACACACAUACUAGUUAACAACGAAUUACUAAUAAAAGCUCAAUCCAAAUUCGGAACAUUUUUUGAAAAAGGAGGGUGAGAAAAGCGAUAGCAAAAAGAAGAAAUAUUAAAAGGGUUGUCUAACAUGUGUAAUAUUGCACAUGUUAAAGUAAUUAAAAGUAGUAGCAAUUAAAUGAAAAACAACAAUUAUUUAUUAAAAAAUUUAUAUUUAAUAUAAAAUGCACAAGUUUACAUAUAAACUUACUAUUUUGAACUUCUUAACAUGUGCAAAUUUACAUAUGAUAGAAAAAAUCAUAUGAAAAAGACCUCUAAUACCAUCUAAAAAUUUUGGGUUUGAUUCAACUCAACCUUAUAAAAUCGGUUUAAAAGGUGAAAAAUACCCCACUUAUAAAGAUAUCUUCCGAUCUAUAUAUCUCAGUCAAUGCAAGACUCUUAUAUGAAGUUCACCAUAUAUAAUAUAAAUAGAUUCAAAGUAUCAAAACAAUAUAAUCAUGUAUAGCAUUUAUUUCUUAAUGAAAAAAUAAAAUAAAAUAUAAUUGUAAGCGAAGAAUAAAGACUCAAUCUCAAUAUGCCAUCUAAAAAAUCUUGUUUCAAAUAGAACCAAAUGAAUCAAAAUUUUGAAAGCAAAGAAUACAUACUGAAUUCCACCCAAAUGCUUCUAACCCCUUGUUAGCAGUCUAAAAGAUAUGCUUAACAUGCCAUGUCAAAUACACUAAUGGGUUUGGUUGUAUUGGAAAGUAAAGUGAUAGUCACUCACCUUUGUGUAGCAACAAGAAAGAUGAGACAAGUUGAUUCUUUUCUUUGAGACUGAGAAUCAUGAAUUCAUUCCUCAAAAACCCUAAAUCCACAAAUUAAUUUCAAUAAAAACCCUAAACAGUUUGCGACAACGAAUAUUGAGAAAUUAGAGAAUCAAAAACUCAAAUUCAUGACAGUGACAAAUUAAGGAUAAAUCUUACCUGCAGAUUCAGAGUAUAUGACUGAUUAUGUUCUUGGGCGUAAAUCGCGCCCUUUUUCCAAAAUUUACGUUUUAAUGAAACUGGUUAUGUUCUUCUCGGUUUGUAAUGUAUAAAAUGAAACGAGCGGUUUUGUAUUCUACGAAAGGAAACGACGCGUUUUCGGGGUAUAUAAAAUGAAGGUUAGCUUCUCGUAUCAUACGAAACAAAAUAGGGGUUUUUUGGGGGUAAAUAAGUGCCUAAACCCAACGUGCUCUUUGUUCUUGGGCGUACAACACCUGUUCGUAUCCAAGUACCCAUUCUUCUCCAUUGGUAAAGCUUAACCUCAACUCUUCUUCCAAUCAAAAAAAAAAAAAAANNNNNNNNNNCUUCUCCAUUGCUUAUUAAAAAAAAAAAAAAAAACCCUUCUUCUCCAUUGAUGAAGCCUUUCAAAAUCAUCUGAAAACAAAGUAAGCUUCUUAAAUAAACUAAUUUUUCUUUGUUGCAAUUUUACAUAUUUCUGUUUAUAUUUGGCACAUAUUUGCUUUAUAUUUCUUUUCAUUUAGUUCUAAGUGUGUAACCCCUGUUUAUCUCUUUCAUGAAAACAAUUUAGUUCUAAGAGAAUUUAGUUCUAAUAAAGCAAAGUUCUAAUUUUUAGUUCUAUUCCUUAACAUUUAGUUUCUAUUUGAUAAAAACCCAAAUAUCAGGUUGUGCAUAAUUGUUCUAAUUUUUUUUGUUGAUAAAAGACCCAAAUAUCUAUUUUUUUUUUGUUGAUAAAAGACCAACUUAUGGUUCUGCAUAAUUUUAUUUUAAUAGGUUAGAUCCAACAAUGACAAUAGUUACAACACCUAGUGUUGGUAUGAAAUUUGAUAAUGUAAAUGAAGCAUGGAAAUUUUGGGCUGCCUAUGGUAAAGAAAAAGGCUUUGGAGUUAGAAAACAAUAUUCCAACAAAAAGAAGGACGGCUCUAUUAGAUCGUGCAGAUUCGUUUGUUGUAAAGAGGGUCAUCGAACAAAGAAUCUGAAAUCCCUUUUGGCGAAGAAUCCUAAAGCUGAGACAAGAACCGAUUGCGAAGCGAGAAUUGCACUUAGUAGAAAGGAUGAAAAGUUUGUAAUCCACGAGUUCGUAGAAGCUCAUAACCACCCUUUGCAGAUUCCAGAAACAACACAUAUGUUAGCCUCACAUCGUAAAAUAUCUGAAGUUCAAGCAUAUGAGAUUGAAAUGGCAGAAGACUCUGGAUUGAUGCAAAAGGCCUCAUUUCAGCUCAUGAGUGCACAUGUUGGAGGUAGAGCUAAUCUUGGAUAUACUCGGUUGGAUGCGAAGAAUUAUCUAAAAGAAAGACGAAAACGUAGGAUGUUAUUUGGAGAAGUUGGUAGUGUCAUGCAAUAUUUUCAAAAGCAACUUUUGGAAAAUCCAUCAUUUUACCAUGCAUAUCAAAUGGAUUGUGAAGAACAAAUUACAAAUGUCUUUUGGACAGAUGCAAGAAUGAUUUUGGACUAUGGAUAUUUCGGGUUUCAACCAUCACAGAGGUACCGUCAUUUUUGGGUCUGCACUAUUAUAUGAUGAAACUGCUGAAACAUUUAAAUGGCUAUUUGAAACCUUCCUUCAUGCACAUGGGAACAAAAAACCUCAAACAUUGUUCACUGACCAAGACAGAGCAAUGGCUAAAGCGCUAGCUGAGGUGAUGCCGGAGACUCGACAUGGGUUAUGUACAUGGCAUUUGAUGCAAAAUGGAAUUAAAAAUCUUGGACCAAAAUUAUUGAAAAGAGGAAAUCAUUUCAUGUCUAGCUUUGCAAAAUGCAUGUAUGAAUAUGAACAAGAAGUGAAGUUUGAGUUAGCUUGGAGUAAGUUAGUUGCUGAUUUUGAUGUCUUUGAAGAAAAUUGGGUGAAGACAAUGUAUGCUCUAAAGGAAAAAUGGGCAGCAUGCUACAUGAAGGAAGUAAUCACUUUAGGAAUGCGAAGCACUCAACUUAGUGAGAGUUUGAAUUCCAAUUUUAAGGCUUACAUGAAGCCGAACAUCAAUAUUAUCCAAUUCUUCAAUCACUUUGAAAGUGUUGUUGAGGAGAAGCGUUAUAAUGAGUUAGUUAGUGAAUACGAGUCUCGACACAAACUACCAAAGCUAAGGUAUAACUAUUCAUCAAUUCUGAUGCAACUUGCACAAAUAUACACUCCUACAGUUUUUGAGGUAUUUCAUGAAGAAUUUUCAUUAUUUUUUGCUACUUGCAUACGAGAAAGAAAUGUAUCUCAAUUUCCUUUUGAAUAUGUUAUCACCUCAAUCAAUGAUGAAGGAGAGUGGAGAGUGUUAUUUGAUCCUAUACAAAUCUCCAUAUCAUGCAAUUGUAGAAAGUUUGAGACUUUUGGAAUACUUUGUUGUCAUGCUUUGAAGGUGUUUGAGGCAAAUGAUGUUAAAUUUGUCUCUGAGAAAUACAUUCUAAAGAGGUGGACAAAGGAUGCACGAAGUAGUAUAAUACAUGACAUACAUGCUAAUGAAGUUGUGGAAAAUCCCAAACUAUCUAUUGCACAACGAUAUAGACAACUUUGCUCCAUUAUGAUUAAAUUUGUUGCUGACGUGUCCUCUUCUGAGAGUUUAUCUCAGCUUGCAAAAGAAGGAUUGCAGGACUUAUAUAAGAAGGUGAUGGAUGCUCGGUUAAAAGAAAAUUCAACAUGUAAUGAUCAAGGUGAUGUUCCAAUACCAACGACAGUGUAUUGUCACAGAAGCAAGCGGGUUCAAGCAACGACCUGGGUUAAAAAGACAAAAAAGAUUAAAGAGCUGCCUUGAACUUUCGCGCCAGAAAAAAAGGCAAAAACCAACUAUAAAACCUUCUUCAACGCAACAAUCUAAUGUAUACAAGUUUAUGAUACUAGCAACAUUACUUUGCCUUUUUGUGGAUUUAUUAUGUCUUAAUUUUCAUUUUCAUUGAAGGGUAUCAAAUCUCUAAGUCAAGUAGAAUGUACAAGUACAACAGCUAGUUUGGCACAUCCUACAUAUUCUUACUCUCAAACUACAAGACAUUUGCCAACUCAACAAUUUGUGGUAAACUAGUUUUAUGGUAACAUGCAAAUAGUUUGGCACAUCCUGUAUAUGCUUUAUUUAUGAGUUUAAUUUUUUAUGUUUAUUGAAGGAUAUUGAAUCUCCAAGUCAAAUGGAAUGUGCAACAUCUAGUUUGGAACAUCCAGCAUAUGUGCUCUCUCAAACCACUGAAAAUCAAUUUAGCUUCACUGAGUUAUUGAUGGUAAGAUCUCUAAUUAAUGGUUUAAAAAAUUGUCUCUAUAUGUAGCUUAUGAUAAUAACCUCUUUUACUUUUGUAUUGUAGGAGUCACAUGUAGAUAAAUGAAUAUCAGUCAAGGUUACAAAUCUCAAUGGAAAGAUCAUAUCAGACCAAUAUUUUCAUUUUGGAUUUUGUUUUGUAAUGUGUUUAUUGUAGAAUAGAAAUCACAUUAGCCCACAAACUUGAAUAUGUAUGCUUACUGUUACUAUAACAGAGCAUCUUUUGAACAAUGAGUUUAUUGUGGUGCUUCAUAUAUAUUUGCAAACUCAAUAUGAAAUUAAAGGUCAUUAUAAUUAGUUCUUCAAACUCAAAUUAUGAUUAAUUACAAUCUAGAAACAAUAUAGAANNNNNNNNNNNNNNNNNNNNNNNNNNNNNNNNNNNNNNNNNNNNNNNNNNNNNNNNNNNNNNNNUGACAAAUUCACCUCCAGCCCUUGACAACUAAAACCCAAAGAAAAUAAAUCGUGUAAUGUCAAAAUAGUCGCACCACUGGCUUGAUAGUUGAUACAGUGAAAUUAUUACUAUUUGGUUGCUUUUUUCUAUUUAUUUAUUUUCUGAUUCUUUUCCUUUGACUUUAUUGGUAUGUUAUUUUUAUAAAGAUGUGUGGUUGUAAGUUGUUAAAAGAUAUAUGUGGUGGGUAUUAAAUUGACUGCAGGUGACUGCACACUCAAAGUGAAUUCACUGAAUCCAUAUCCGGGUUUGGGCCAAGUUAAAACUAUUAUUCAAAACUAAAAAGUACAAAGUUUUUAUAAUAAAAAAUUAUUAAAGGAUUAAAACUAAUUGUAGUUGUUAAAAUAGUUAAGUUGGGUAUAAUUUCAUUAAAUAAAAGUAUAUUAUUGGAAAAGAAAUUAAAUGUUACAUUGAUAUUCUAAAAGUGAUAAUUUAUUUUGAGAUAGAGAAAAAAAAUGCUAAAGUGACAAUUAAAAUGUGACGGGGUAGAUAAGUUAACGACUGACACAUAAUAUAUUUUAUAUUCGCUUUCAUCCAUGCAAGAAACCGCGCUAUACUCACCUUUUAGAUGAAAUGUUAAACUGAAAACCAACGAUUAUUGAUAUCAAAAGUAAAUAUUCUUUAAAUUGACUCUGACUAGGACAAACAUCAACAAUCAUAAUAAUGUUGAAUUUUAUCAAUACAUUCUUCAUCACCAGUUUGCAAGGAAUAAAUGACUUUGUUUACACCCUUAGUUACGUGCUUAAACAAAUACUUGAUACAAUUUGAGCUUGAUACUUCAUGAUGACGAUUAGGUUAUAUAUAUGGACCAACACUUCAAUUGUCCAACUUGACAUCAUUUUUCACAACAAUAACACCUGCACCUCGACGCCUAUAUACAUGAUAACCAUUAUCAUUGAAAGACAUCCAACUUACAAACUUUUUUAGGAUAAAACUUUGAACAACGACGAUACUUGGAGCAAUUAGAAUUAGGUCUUGCAAACCCAUAAGGUCCAUGAAUUAUGAAACUUGUCACUACAUAAAAUAAUUUCAGAAAGAACUAUUUGAUCAGGUAACUCGGAGAAUAUUACUAAAUUAAUAGACUCAUGGAUUCAAGUUGUGUAUUGCCUCAUAGAGUAGUUUCCUUUUGUUAACUAAAUUAAUUAAUAAUUAAUAGACUCGGGGCAUAUUACUAAAUUAAAAGGGUGACAAGAAAUUAAGUUGUAUGAAGCAUUUCAUUUUGUUAACUUGGUUUGAUGUAAAUGAGAAAUUUCUUUAUAGUUUACCCUAAUAAAAUAUUCGUACAUAAAUCAGCUAUAUAGAAGGGAUAUUUUUAUUAUUUAUUAACAAUUUUCUAAUGUUUUUAUAGGAAAAAACCCCAUAUCUUCUAGACUAGAAAAGUAAAAAUAUAUUUGAGGUCCAUUAAACAACGCUUGAUUAGAUGUGUAUUUAUAUUUUGUUAUAUUUGGAGAAUAUUUUAAUUUCUGCAAGUAAGUUCUAUAUUUGGAGAAGAUUUUAAUUUCUGCAAGUAAAUAUAGUACAACCAAAUGAAUAUCUAAAGAAGUUCUAUAUUUGCAUCAUAGAGUAGUUUCCUAAAGUCAGUUGAGUUAUUUAAAGUGAGGAGUUAAAUUAUUGUAUUUUUUUUAUCAAACAAUUUACUAUCCAAUUGUAAACUUUCCGGUUAAUGGACAAGAUGGCCAAUCUGAAUCACAAUGGCAACUAGGGUUAGAUCAUUUUCUUUUGGGAAAAUUUGAGGUAUCUUAGCACACACAUAAAUGCGUCCCAAUGAGCUUAUCAAGGGGACCCCAUAAACUGUGACUUAAGAUUUGGACAUAAGCCUAAGAUAGUGUGGAGGGCCUGAAUUAAGAGCAGUUUUUUAUUCUUUUCCAUCGGAAAUGUAGAUAGUUUGCAAUCUAACAUUUUGCACUCACUUAUCAAGAGUAUAUUUUCGCUGACAUAUGAACAUGCCAAAUGGUCGGCUAGCUAGUUCAAUAUCAAGAGCUCAAUUCUCUGUCGCAUGCAUAUUUGAAAUAUAUGAUAAUUAUUAUCUCAACAAAGAACGUAGUAGUGUUCAGCUACGCCCUUACAUAGAGUAGAGUACAAGAAAGGAAGAUUCAGAUUUCUUUCUGAUCCUUAAUCAUGAGGACACAAUUUAGGUACAUCAUCUUUCCAAACAAUAUUUGAGAGAACCUUCUAAAGAACAUGUUCUUGUUUCACUGUUACUUUCUAAAU
rnacentral:lncRNA from 1 species